UACGUAGGGGGCAAGCGUUGUCCGGAUUUAUUGGGCUUAAAGGGCGCGUAGGCGGUUUUUUAAGUCAGUGGUGAAAUACUUCAGCUUAACUGGAGAGGUGCCAUUGAUACUGGGAAACUUGAGUACUGAUGAGGUAGGCGGAAUGGACGGUGUAGCGGUGAAAUGCUUAGAUAUCGUCCAGAACACCGAUAGCGAAGGCAGCUUACUAAGCAGUAACUGACGCUGAGGCACGAAAGUGUGGGGAUCAAACAGG
rnacentral:rRNA from 1 species